rnacentral:lncRNA from 1 species
GGUUGAGAUGGAGAUGUAGGUUAUUGUGGGAUUGGGCUAUUUGUAGUUUGUUGGAUUUUUCCAUUUGUGGUUGUGAUUUCAGGUUCAUUUGUUGUUUUAGGUGCAGUUGUGGUUUCUGGCUCAUUUGUUGUUGUGGGUUCAUUUGUUGGUUUGGUAACAGUACCAAAAGGUUGGUUUAUAAUGGUUGUGUUUGGGAAAAGGAUAGAUGAAGAAUUAACAUUUAU